GGGAGCUUGCUCCCUGAUGUUAGCGGCGGACGGGUGAGUAACACGUGGGUAACCUGCCUGUAAGACUGGGAUAACUCCGGGAAACCGGGGCUAAUACCGGAUGCUUGUUUGAACCGCAUGGUUCAAACAUAAAAGGUGGCUUCGGCUACCACUUACAGAUGGACCCGCGGCGCAUUAGCUAGUUGGUGAGGUAAUGGCUCACCAAGGCAACGAUGCGUAGCCGACCUGAGAGGGUGAUCGGCCACACUGGGACUGAGACACGGCCCAGACUCCUACGGGAGGCAGCAGUAGGGAAUCUUCCGCAAUGGACGAAAGUCUGACGGAGCAACGCCGCGUGAGUGAUGAAGGUUUUCGGAUCGUAAAGCUCUGUUGUUAGGGAAGAACAAGUGCCGUUCGAAUAGGGCGGCACCUUGACGGUACCUAACCAGAAAGCCACGGCUAACUACGGGCCAGCAGCCGCGGUAAUACGUAGGUGGCAAGCGUUGUCCGGAAUUAUUGGGCGUAAAGGGCUCGCAGGCGGUUUCUUAAGUCUGAUGUGAAAGCCCCCGGCUCAACCGGGGAGGGUCAUUGGAAACUGGGGAACUUGAGUGCAGAAAGAGGAGAGUGGAAUUCCACGUGUAGCGGUGAAAUGCGUAGAGAUGUGGAGGAACACCAGUGGCGAAGGCGACUCUCUGGUCUGUAACUGACGCUGAGGAGCGAAAGCGUGGGGAGCGAACAGAUUAGAUACCCUUGGUAGUCCACGCCGUAAACGAUGAGUGCUAAGUGUUAGGUGGUUUCCGCCCCUUAAUGCUGCAGCUAACGCAUUUAGCACUCUGCCUGGGGGAG
rnacentral:rRNA from 1 species